rnacentral:rRNA from 1 species
GACGAACGCUGGCGGCAGGCCUAACACAUGCAAGUCGAGCGAGCGGCGGACGGGUGAGUAAUGUAUAGGGACUGCCAGAUAGAGGGGGAUAAAUACUGGAAAAGGUAGCUAAUACCGCAUAUUAUCGGAUAACCCAUAUGGGAUUAGCUAGUAGGUGGGGUAAUGGCUCACCUAGGCGACGAUCCCUCGCUGGUCUGAGAGGAUGAUCAGCCACCUUGGGACUGAGACACGGCCCAGACUCCUCCGGAGGCAGCAGUGGGGAAUAUUGCACAAUGGGCGCAAGCCUGAUGCAGCCAUGCCGCGUGUAUGAAGAGGGCCCUAGGGUUGUAAAGUACUUUCAGUCGGGAGGCGUUACCGACAGAAGAAGCACCGGCUAACUCCGUGCCAGCAGCCGCGGUAAUAC